GAGGGGAGUCCAGAUCCUGGGCUGUGUCUUCCGUGCCCUGGGUUCCCGUGCCUGCGCUGUUGGAUUCGCGCUCCCGGCCACGCAGCCCCCU
rnacentral:pre_miRNA from 1 species